GAUGAACGCUGGCGGCGUGCCUAAUACAUGCAAGUCGAACGAACAGACGAAUAUCUUGCUCCUCUGACGUUAGCGGCUGACGGGUGAGUAACGCGUGGAUAACUUACCUAUAAGUCAGGGGUAACUUCGGGAAACCGGAGAUAUUACCGGAUCAUCUAUUACCCCGCAUGGUUCCAUCAUCAAAGACGGCUUUGCUGUCACUUAUAGAUGUAUCCGCGCCGCCUUAGCUAGUUGGUAAGGUAACGGCUUACCAAGGCAACGAUGCGUAGCCGACCUGAGAGGGUGAUCGGCCACACUGGAACUGAGACACGGUCCAGACUCCUACGAGAGGCAGCAGUAGGGAAUCUUCCGCAAUGGGCGAAAGCCUGACGGAGCAACGCCGCGUGAGUGAUGAAGGUCUUAGGAUCGUAAAACUCUGUUAUUAGGGAAGAACAAAUGUGUAAGUAACUAUGCACGUCUUGACGGUACCUAAUCAGAAAGCCACGGCUAACUACGUG
rnacentral:rRNA from 1 species